AGCCCCGUGGUGUAGCGGUCAAGCAUGCGGGACUUUGGAUCCCGCGACGGGGGUUCGAAUCCUCCCGGGGCUG
rnacentral:tRNA from 4 species